GGGACCUACGGGAGGCAGCAGUGGGGAAUAUUGGGCAAUGGGCGCAAGCCUGACCCAGCAACGCCGCGUGAAGGAAGAAGGCUUUCGGGUUGUAAACUUCUUUUAAGAGGGAAGAGCAGAAGACGGUACCUCUUGAAUAAGCCACGGCUAACUACGUGCCAGCAGCCGCGGUAAUACGUAGGAGGCAAGCGUUGUCCGGAUUUACUGGGUGUAAAGGGCGGGCAGCCGGGAAGACAAGUCAGAUGUGAAAUCCCGCGGCUCAACCGCGGAAAUGCAUUUGAAACUGUUUGGCUUGAGAACCGGAG
rnacentral:rRNA from 1 species